rnacentral:rRNA from 1 species
UACGGAGGGUGCGAGCGUUGUCCGGAUUUAUUGGGCGUAAAGAGCUCGUAGGCGGCUCGUUGCGUCCAUCGUGAAAACUCAGGGCUUAACUCUGAGCUUGCGGUGGAUACGGGCGGGCUAGAGUUCGGUAGGGGAGUCUGGAAUUCCUGGUGUAGCGGUGAAAUGCGCAGAUAUCAGGAGGAACACCGAUGGCGAAGGCAGGACUCUGGGCCGAUACUGACGCUGAGGAGCGAAAGCGUGGGGAGCAAACAGG